UGGCUUAAACUACUAAAACAACUAUGAAUUAACAACAUAGAUGCACGAAAACAAGCUAAGUAAGUCGCCUAAAUAUGCUCCUAUCACUACACAUGAUUGUAUUCCAACUGGGUAUUUGGCCACAUUCAAAUAUGUGCGUUGUAGUACUUCGACUGAGAUCUCCUUAAUAAUCUUAUUGAUAAAUGUAACUUCAUACCUACCAGUUUAAAUAAAAAAACAUAUUUAGUCAAUCAAAUUUUUUGCUAUAUUUCUUUGUAAAAGAAAAUAAUAAUAAUAAUAAAAUGCUACUAAAUCCACCGUAUUGUUUUAUUUUAUAUUUUUGGUAAACCCAUGUUGUUUUAUUUUUCCACUCACAUUUUAAUGAAAAUGUUAGAUCCCUAAUUGUUUCUCUCCCUACCCUUCGUCCUCCGUUUCUCUCUCCCCCAUUUUUCUCUCUCUUCUGUUUCGUGUCUCUCCUCUGGCUUCUGCACCAACGACUUCCCUUCUCUCUCUUGGAAACCAGUCUCUAAUUAUUCGAAUCUCUCCCUCUCUCGACCACACUCUCUCUCUCUCUCUCUCUCUCUCUCUCUCUUCCCCAACCCAAAUCUUCUGUCACCUGCAAAUCCAAAUUGCAUAGCUGAAAUAACAAAAUCUCUCCUCACCCAAUUUCCCCUUUUACCCUCUUUGUCUAUUUCUGAUUUCCAUUUGCUUCCACUGUCAGUUUUGUACUCGGAAUUAAUUUCGAAUUAAUCAAUUUUCGAGCUAGGGUUCAUUUUUUAUUUGGAAAAAAAAAAGAUUGGUUGCUAAUUCAUUUAUAUAUUUGGGUUGAUUAAUUAAUGGAGUCAAGUUUUGAUCAGUGGGAGAAAGAUCCAUUAUUUCCGGCGGUGGAAUAAGUUCAAGAAUUCGCCGACAGAUAGCAUUUCUCAUGCUUCCAGCUCAUUUGGAUAAAAUCUUAGCUUUAGGAGAGCAAUUUAAGAGAGAGAGAGAGAGAGAGAGAGGGGCCAGGGGAAUCAUAAUCUUGGUUCGAUGCUGAGAAGCUUGCUGGUACGCUCUCCCUCUUAAACUGCUUCCCCUUUACUUGCAGAUUUGCCUUUUUUUUAUUUUUUUUAUUACUGUUUCUGGUAUUCUUACUUCCAUUUUUUCGAUUUAAUUCUUUUGCUUUGAACUAAAUUGGUUGAAUCGAUGAAGCAGAUCUCUUGCUCUCUACAACUCUCCAACAAAACCAAUGACUAUGUAGCUUUCAAGGUUGUAGAUUUUCACCAGAUAAGUUAAGUUUUUUGGACUUUUAGAGAUUUGCAAUCUUGAUUUUGGUGUAAAGUUAGUUCACGUAGGGACUGACGGUGAAAAUAGGACAUUUGAGGUGUGGUGUAUUAAAGUUAUUUUAGAGAUAAUAGUGGGUGGAAAAUAAGAUGUUAAUUUUUUAAAUUUUUUAUUGUGGAUGGAAUGAUAAUGUGUGAGAAAAUAGAAUAACGGGUGAGUUUAUCAGCACCUCAAAAAAAAAAAAAAAAAUGGCAGAGUAUUACACGAAAAAGGAGUGCCGGCAACAACAAAAGUCACUCCCUGAUUCGCUAGCUUUGGUGAAUGACAAGUCUAUAAUUAUAUAUGAAGAAGAUGGACACGUAGGUUUAACAUAAACGAGCCUUCAUGUACCUUGGUUGUUUUCCCUUGCUUCCAAAAAAAAUAAAUAAAUAAACGAGCCUUCAUGUA